rnacentral:rRNA from 1 species
CGACCCACCCUAAAGAGAGGGAUACCGGCGAGAAAUUGCCGACAAGCCCGCAUGGGUUCUUGCUGGUCGAGCAGUGAGAGCAAAGUUUUCCGCAAGGGAGACGCUUUAGGAUGGGCCUGUGGCCGAUUAGCUAGUUGGUGAGGUAAGAGCUCACCAAGGCGUCGAUCGGUAGCUGGUCUGAGAGGACGAUCAGCCACACUGGGAUUGAGAACGGCCCAG